CAAAAUCCCUCAAAAUGUUGAACUGUUCCUUUAAAUAUCCCCAUAAACCUUAGAUGAACAUCUGUUUGUUCCAGUGCUUCAGUGUAUCACAGCUAUAGUACACUACCUCUUGUGGCUUAAGAUUCAAACCUUCUUGUAAAUUAUUCUAUACAUUGUUUUUCUGUAAUCUAGUCUGACAUCAUUGGUAUAUUUAGGAUCUUUAAACGCACAGUAUGUAACUUCUGCCUCCAGGGGUCUCUCAAUCAAAACAAUAACAAAAGAUGGGACCAUGGGAGUUGUUGUCUUCACCACCAUUACAGUAAUCUACUCCCGGUUUGGAUUCCUCCAGUGUCAAGGGGUUCAAGAAAUCAAACAGACCAGGUGAUUCCGACCGUUAAAAACAAGUAAUAAAGCAGCGACGCUGUACGGAGGACAGAGACUCAGGGAAGAGCUGGAGCUGAGAUUGAUGCUAACCUUUGUUUGGACUGUUUCUCUGAUAAUUUAUGAACCAGACGUUCAGGAGGUUUUUAACAGCAGCUGAAUUAGCCACAGAGGUGUCCUCCUCUCCAUAACAAACACACCAGGGGAUUAAAACCACUAAACGAAUAACGCAGUCUCACUUUAAAAAAAAAAAAAAAAUCAGUGAUUUGCUGACGCACGUCGGCGGAGAGGGAGUAGCUGGAAACUGAGACUGCUUACCUUUGUUAAUAAAUUAUGAACCAGGCGUUCAGCAGGCUUUUCCCGGCAGCCAAAUUAUCUGCAAAGGUGCUCUCGUCUCCACAACAAACGGACCAGGGGCUUAAACCCGGUAAACGAACAAAGCAGUUUCACUUUAACAAAAAUAAAUCAGUGAUUCACCGACACUCUUCAGUGACACAGGACAGGACGUCUCCAGCAGCUGGGAGCUGAGCUGUCUAACAUUUCCUCAGCUUGUUUCUCUGAUAACUUCAGAUCCAGACGUCCGGUGACCAAAAUCCUAUUAUAAUCUAUUCAAAUAUAGAGCUGAAAACCACCAAGGUGUAAAAAGCGUAUGUGGCUUAAAACUAGAUAAAAGUCAAUGUUGAGAUUCUGGCAGGCAUCCACAACACCGACCCAUGCACAUAGGGGAUGAUGUCAUUGACUGUUACCAUAUUAAAAAUACGUAUUUAUCUGGUUUGCGAAUUAUUGGAAACAUUUGUGAAAAUCAGAGUUUGUGUUUGAUCUGUGAUGGAUUUGUGGGGUUAAGGAGGUAAAAUGAUUUCGCUCCACUCUACCUGUAUUCCCUGGAUACAAGCGCUGACAAUCUCUCUGUAGUGGUGUUUGGUGCAGAGUGGACAUGCAUGCUGGCUCUGCCACAGAAGGUGGAAAGAACAACCAUCACACGUCCCCUCUGAACAGUUACUGCGGAGGAAAACAAGCGAUAGCUGGCUGCAGCAUUCAGUCCAUACCGAUGAGUGAGUCACCGAUGAGGAAAGGCUGGGAGGACACCACGCUCUGACUCCUGAUUUCAGAGGGAACCACGGUGGACUGGCAGACGUAACCUCUGACCUCUCUCC